rnacentral:rRNA from 1 species
UACAGAGGGUGCGAGCGUUACUCGGAAUUACUGGGCGUAAAGCGCGCGUAGGCGGCUUUGCAAGUCGGGUGUGAAAUCCCCAGGCUUAACCCGGGAACUGCAUUCGAGACUGCAUUGCUAGAGUAUGGGAGAGGGAAGUGGAAUUUCAGGUGUAGCGGUGAAAUGCGUAGAUAUCUGAAGGAACAUCAGUGGCGAAAGCGACUUCCUGGACCAAUACUGACGCUCAUGUGCGAAAGCGUGGGGAGCAAACAGG